AUUGAACGCUAGCGGGAUGCCUUACACAUGCAAGUCGAACGGCGUGGCGAACGCGUGAGUAAUGUAUCGGACCGUGCCCAGUCGCGGGGGAUAACUACGCCAACGCGUAGCUAAUACUGCUUCCUCUUGGCGUGGCCUAUAUGGGAUUAGCUAGUUGGUGGGGUAACGGCUCACCAAGGCGACGAUCCUGAGCUGGUUUGAGGGGACGACCAGCCACACUGGGACUGAGACACGGCCCAGACUCCUACGGGAGGCAGCAGUGGGGAAUUUUGGACAAUGGGGGAAAGCCUGAUGCAGCCAUGCCGCGUGUGCGAUGAAGGCCUUCGGGUUGUAAAGCACUUUUGGCAGGGAAGCGGUACCUGCAGAAGAAGCACCGGCUAACUACGUGCCAGCAGCCGCGGUAAUUC
rnacentral:rRNA from 1 species